rnacentral:ncRNA from 1 species
CAACCCAUACAGUGAUGUAUGGCCGAACUCUAAGGGGUCAGCAGAGGUCAUAGUACCAAGGGUAACAUGUGACCAUUGGGAAGGAC